rnacentral:rRNA from 1 species
UUGCUCUUCAACGAGGAAUACCUAGUAAGCGUGAGUCAUCAGCUCGCGUUGAUUACGUCCCUGCCCUUUGUACACACCGCCCGUCGCUACUACCGAUUGAAUGGCUUAGUGAGGUCUCCGGAUUGGCUUUGGGGAGCCGGCAACGGCACCCUAUUGCUGAGAAGCUGAUCAAACUUGGUCAUUUAGAGGAAGUAAAAGUCGUAACAAGGUUUCCGUAGGUGAACCUGCGGAAGGAUCAUUAUUGAAUAAACCUGAUGUGGUUGUUGCUGGCUCUCUCGGGAGUAUGUGCACGCCCGUCAUCUUUAUAUUUCCACCUGUGCACCUUUUGUAGACCCGCGCGACUUGAGCAAUCAAGUCAAGUAGGCCUACGUUUUAUCAUAUACCCCAUAGUAUGUAUCAGAAUGUAUCAGUGGGCUUUGUGCCUAUAAACACUAUACAACUUUCAGCAACGGAUCUCUUGGCUCUCGCAUCGAUGAAGAACGCAGCGAAAUGCGAUAAGUAAUGUGAAUUGCAGAAUUCAGUGAAUCAUCGAAUCUUUGAACGCACCUUGCGCUCCUUGGUAUUCCGAGGAGCAUGCCUGUUUGAGUGUCAUUAAAUUCUCAACCUCUCUAGUUUUCUGAACUAGUAGAUGGCUUGGAUGUGGGGGNUUUGUGCAGGCUUUCACAAGUCAGCUCCCCUGAAAUGCAUUAGCCGGUACUAUCUGACCGUCUAUUGGUGUGAUAAUUAUCUACGCCGUGGACUGAAGAGUUUGUGCUGCUUACAACCGUCCUGCAUAGGACAAUCAAUGACAUUUUGACCUCAAAUCAGGUAGGACUACCCGCUGAACUUAAGCAUAUCAAUAAGCGGAGGA